GUGGGGAAUCUUGCGCAAUGGGCGAAAGCCUGACGCAGCCAUGCCGCGUGAAUGAUGAAGGUCUUAGGAUUGUAAAAUUCUUUCACCGGGGACGAUAAUGACGGUACCCGGAGAAGAAGCUCCGGCUAACUUCGUGCCAGCAGCCGCGGUAAUACGAAGGGGGCUAGCGUUGCUCGGAAUUACUGGGCGUAAAGGGCGCGUAGGCGGACAGCUUAGUCAGAGGUGAAAGCCCAGGGCUCAACCUUGGAAUUGCCUUUGAUACUGACUGUCUUGAGUUUGGGAGAGGUGAGUGGAACUCCGAGUGUAGAGGUGAAAUUCGUAGAUAUUCGGAAGAACACCAGUGGCGAAGGCGACUCACUGGCCCAAUACUGACGCUGAGGCGCGAAAGCGUGGGGAGCAAACAGGAUUAGAUACCCGAGUAGUCC
rnacentral:rRNA from 1 species